GACGUAGGGGGCGAGCGUUGUCCGGAUUUAUUGGGCGUAAAGCGUGCGUAGGCGGCUGCGCAAGUCGGGUGUGAAACCCCGGGGCUCAACCCCGGAACUGCAUCCGAUACUGCGUGGCUAGAGGUAGGUAGGGGAGAUUGGAAUUCCUGGUGUAGCGGUGAAAUGCGCAGAUAUCAGGAGGAACACCGGUGGCGAAGGCGGAUCUCUGGGCCUUACCUGACGCUCAGGCACGAAAGCUAGGGGAGCGAACAGG
rnacentral:rRNA from 1 species